rnacentral:rRNA from 1 species
AUGAACGCUGGCGGCGUGCCUAAUACAUGCCAGUCGAGCGAACGGACGAGAAGCUUGCUUUUCUGAUGUUAGCGGCGGACGGGUGAGUAACACGUGGAUAACCUACCUAUAAGACUGGGAUAACUUCGGGAAACCGGAGCUAAUACCGGAUAAUAUUUUGAACCGCAUGGUUCAAAAGUGAAAGACGGUCUUGCUGUCACUUAUAGAUGGAUCCGCGCUGCAUUAGCUAGUUGGUAAGGUAACGGCUUACCAAGGCAACGAUGCAUAGCCGACCUGAGAGGGUGAUCGGCCACACUGGAACUGAGACACGGUCCAGACUCCUACGGGAGGCAGCAGUAGGGAAUCUUCCGCAAUGGGCGAAAGCCUGACGGAGCAACGCCGCGUGAGUGAUGAAGGUCUUCGGAUCGUAAAACUCUGUUAUUAGGGAAGAACAUAUGCGUAAGUAACUGUGCACAUCUUGACGGUACCUAAUCAGAAAGCCACGGCUAACUACGUG